GCAGACCCUUGGUGCACUACUACAUCGAUCGCAGUAACUGGAUGUAAUUGAAGUUUUUGGAAAAAGAUUUUGAAAGACUAUUGGGUGCUUUCCCAGAAUAUACCCACAAGAUGGCAGAGGAUGUUGUGACUGUCAAGUUGGUCUUCUUUGAGAAAGAUGAGAGAUGUGCAAAGUCAGAGCAUCACCAAAAUUAAACUCGAACUGUGUCAAAAGGGAUGUCCGACAAAUAGUAGUCUUUCUGAAGACCUUCUUAAUUGAUGUGGAAUACAUGACUAUUUAAUUGCAGAAGGCACAUAUCAAGCACAUGUCCUCACUUUGCCUUGCCAAUUGACCAAAUCAAUGGUUGACAGCAGUUGAAUAGAGCCACAGUGAUGUCAUACAACCCUCUGCCUAUGGCUGCUGACUUAAAUAGCUUGACAGUUUUGUAUUCAAAAAAUAGAAAAAUAAGAGUAGGUGAAGAAAUGUAUUAGUAGUACUAGGACCGUUAUUAAUUUUCAUCCAGAUUUUAAUUUUUUUUUUUCCAUACCAUGAAUAAUCAAUUUGUUGCAAAUGUUAAUUGUAUAUCAAAUAGUUUAAGGCUAGUUAAUUUUAAAUAUUUUGAUUCUAAAAUUGUUGAAAAGUAUAUGUCCAUUGUAUAAAAUUUAAGCAGUGAAUUCGUUAAGUUAGGUGAGUGUUAGUACUAGGUACCUUAUGAUUGUUGGUGUG